ACAGAUUCCCUUGGAUGGGCAAACGGUAUUCAGGCAGGACUACCAUUUCCGGGAGGGGGAGACCGGGGGAAGCAGGUCAGGACUUGAGGCUCAUAACCAUGCUGCACUGAUUUGUUUAAAAGUAAAUAUUAUUUGGUUUUCAUUUAAUUUUAAACAAAAUUUAAAUUUUUAAAUGAAAAUUAAAAUGUUCACUUAAUUUGAGUUAUUAGAUUAAAAGAUAGUCUGCUUUACUGAAAGUCUUAGGCUGGAAAACAACAAAGUCGUUUGUGAAAAUAUUUAAAUAAGAAGAGAACAGCAAUCAUAACAGGAAUCUAAGGGGACUGUGAGUCUUGCAUUGGCACAUCUCAGCGCGGUGGAGACUUCUAAAGAGGGCUCUAUGGAUAGAGUCCUUCAGGGACCACCACCCGCCCCCAUGCCCAACGCUGAGGAGGACACUCCAGCAGGGAUCCACCAGGUGGCUGUAAAGCUAAGAAGGUGACCUCCUGGGUGUCCCUCCUGAAACACAGAGCACCGUUUGAACUGCCCGAGCGAGCGGACCAGCUGGCGCACAGAUCACAGAGCCCUGCAGUGAUCAGCUGCCAUCUGGAUCUGCCCGGGUGCAAGCAAACGGCACAGCUCUGGAAGCUUCCUCAGGGCUCCAAGAGAGCAUCUGCGUGUUGGGAAGCCUCGGAUGUGCUGCAAGACCUUUGUUCUGACUGUGGCAAAGCCUAUGUAUGCUAGGUGUCACAUUGAAUUCUUUUCUAUUAAUAAUAACUUAUCUGAGAUUCUGCGCGACUGUCGCUCUAGAAUCUGCAUUUAGGAAUGAUCAGCAUCAGUGCUGAGUGCCUCGGAGUGGGACAUAGAUUUAGGCAGAGAUGUGGGAAGCAGCCAUCAGUGAAGGACGAUGCUGUGAUUGGUGGCUGGAACCCACAAGUAGACACCAAACUGCUAACAGGGUGGUCCUGGAGGUAGAUGUCUAGGCAAGCAGCCAAGAUCAGUCAUUUAGAGUCCAUGCAGGUCUGACUUGAGACAGUGAAUUUUGUAGAACUCCAUACUCAUUCUGAAGUGAUUUUGUUAUAGGCAGUCAGCUCUACCAGAGGCCUUUGUCCAGACUAUCUGAAAGGCACCCAAUGCAAGGGCUGCAAACCUCAACAGCAGAGGACUUGUGCUGAAACCCUUCCGAAUGCAUUCUCUAGACUGGCCAACUAAUGUGUCUUCUUUGCUGUCCAGCUCCAAUCUCCAUCAGGUUGUCUUUUUAAAAAAAAAUCCAAGCCUUUGCCCUGCCAAGCACCAGGAAAAGCAUGAUUUGCACAUUUGAGAGCUAACGAAAACAGUCCAUCCGAGUGUCCUAGUGAAUCUGCAGCCCAGAUGGGCUCACGUUUCCCUGUGUACCCCACAUGCCCACUGAGCCCCGAAGUGGUUGCCCAGACCCCUUACCCAGACCCCGGGCUGAA
rnacentral:lncRNA from 1 species